GCUUGUGCUUCGUACUCAGUGAAAAAGCAAUCUGACUACGAUACGCUAAUGCACAGGAUGCUGUUUAGUCGCUGCUUUCUUACUGUACUGAGCAAAAUUAUGACAAAAUGAGUCUGCAGAGGUUGUCGAAAUACACAAGAUGCAGAAUCUAAGGUAUCUAGUGCAAAAACAAAAGGAGGAGCUACACAAAUUUCACUUGGAAGCUCAAACUAUUGAAUUUCUUGAACUUUAAGCAGCCUGAGUCUUUGCUGAAAUAAACCAGUGCACUCCAUUAACUGUGAUGUGAGAGAAGAUUUGUUGUCUUUAGCAGCUUCUUCAAACAUGCAGAUCUAGAUUAAACCUGGCACUGUAAUGUGUCUGGAGGAGGAAGCUGGCAACUGAGAAGAAUAUUUCUGAGCUCAUACCAUUCUGUCCAGUGAAAAAGGGAAAAGAAAUGUGAAGGGUUACCUAGUGGCAUGGAAUUUUAUCAUCCCUGCUUUACAAGGAGGAAAACAUGGAUGCUGAAGAUGUAAAUGUUUGCAUUCUCAGGUUUUGCAGCAGAAGAAGAACAGUAGAAAUAGAAAUACAAGCUAAGAAAGUACUACUGCAGAGUAACUCCCUGUAACUAUGAAAGAAAUUAUUAAAUCUGUGCUUCUCUAUCAGCCCUUACAGUACAGUUAGAAUAAUUUGUAUUCACAAGGAUUUUAGAAAGGCAUGGAUAACAUAACUAUUUAUCACAUGAUCAAACACAUGCUUUUAAACAGUGAAAAGUUCAAAACUGUCAAAGUACAGGGUACAAGGAUAGAAAAAGUAAUAACUUGUCCUGUUCUUUUCCCUUCCUUUUUGAGAGCUAAAACCAAUUUCUCUAAAGAUAUGUUUGUUCUUUUCUACACAUUCAAGAUGUCAAACUGAGCGAUUUUGACACCCAUUCAUUCUUAAAGGGAAAGAGCUUAGCCAGCAAGAGGAUAAAAAAGAAAGGAUUACUUCUGUACAAGUAUCGCUCAAAAUCUUAAUUAUACCCUAAAAAUGAAGGAAAUGCAUUCCACUACUUUUCAAAUGUAAGUAGCUCAAAUAAUGAUGGUAAAAUGAAGUGACUUAAUAACAAUUUUAGAAAAUAGAAAAUCUAGUUCUUUAAAAUCUUUUUUUUGUAUUUUAAAACAUACUCAUUCUGUAAGCAGCUGACAUAAUAGUAGAGAAAUGAACAUGAAUUAACAAUAAUUUAGAUAAAUGCCAGGAGGCUGAAUACUGUGAGUACUUUGAAAUCUUUUUGAAACGGUAAAAUUCAUUAGAAAAGGGUGUGGGUGGAAGGUAAAACUAUCUCUGUGGUUCAGCUCCCUGCUGAGAAAAAUAAUUUAAUAAAAUUUUUAAAAAACACUGAUGAAAUACAUUUGAAGACCAUUAUGUACACCAUCUUAAUAAAACUAUAACCUUUACCUACAUUGGCCUAUGCAAGCAAAAUCCAAACACGUGUAAAGCGUCUAUUGGCAUAUUUGGUGCUUGUCUCUCCACUGAUAUGUUACAUCAGAAAACAAAUGUAUUCAAGGAAAGUAAAUUCUUUUCAAUAUUAUAUUAAAAGCACUGGUGGGAAGGAAUCGGGCAAGGAAACACUGUGCUGUAUUUUAUGCCAUAGCUCAGUCCUUCAGUACAUUAACAGUAUCCCAAAAAUUUGAGAAACUGAAAUUCAAUUCUCUCCUGAGAUCUGCAGCUACAGUAAGAUGGCAGGUCAACUGUCAGACAAAAUAUAUUCAGAAGUACAUGAUGCUCUGUGUGGCUCAAAAGAAGGCCUUUUCAGCUUUCAUCUCAACUGAAAAUUCACAGGAACAGAUGGUUGGUACGUGAUUCAAUUGCUGCGUGCAGAAGGUGCUGAUAACACCAGAGAAGCCUGUGGGGCUGCUGCUUUAUUCCUCAGCCUACAGUGUCACUCCUGCCCUGCCUGUCUAGCAGGCUGCUCAAGUAUUGUACCCAAGACAGAAGGGGUCCCCAGCAGGAGAAACCAAAGGAGGCUCAAUUCAGACUACUAUAGCACAGUUUGGAAAGUCUUGGAUAGUUUGGAAAGCUUUGCAAGUGGAAAGUUUGAAGAAGGCUUAAGGCAAACUGCUAGCUGAGAGUGUCAGUGAACCCAUUUGUGCCUCUUGAAAGACUAUAGAAACUACUGGGACAUAAAAGGAAAAGAACUUUGCUCACAUCCUUGUAGUAUCCGUGCUGCUUUCUUCCUUUCCAAAUGAGAGGUGGGGGUGGACACAUCAUAUUUAACACCCUGGCAACUGAUUUGAUGUUUGGGGGUUUUUGGUCUUUUUGCUUUGUUUUGAUUGCCAGUUAGUCAAGAAAGCACCAGAAUCAUUUGGAAAUAAGUUAUGAUAAUCCACAGUACACGUUCAUUAGUAACAUAAAACCCAGUAAUGUUUCUGCAGUAUGAUAUCCUAGGAUUAAAGCUAAAAUGUGGAAAAAAACAGGGAAAAUAACAUUCUGAGUAUACACUAAGAGUAGAAGUUUGAGGAUUGUUAUAAUUUAUUUUACCACAAGAUACAACCAGAUUGUGUUCUCUCAGGUAGCUCAACGGCUUUUUUUUUUUUUCCUUGCCAAAAACCCCUUUCUUCCCUAAAACCCAAUUGUACCAUUAAAAAAAACCACUCUCCCCAUUGAA